UAAAAACUUUCAACAACGGAUCUCUUGGCUCUGGCAUCGAUGAAGAACGCAGCGAAAUGCGAUAAGUAAUGUGAAUUGCAGAAUCUAGUGAAUCAUCGAAUCUUUGAACGCACAUUGCGCCCCUUGGUAUUCCGAGAGGCAUGCCUGUUCGA
rnacentral:rRNA from 1 species